rnacentral:rRNA from 1 species
AGAGUUUGGAUCCUGGCUCAGGAUGAACGCUGGCGGCGUGCUUAACACAUGCAAGUCGAGCGGAGAUAUGAAAUCUGAGAGCUUCGGCAGGAUGAUUUCAUAUUUUAGCGGCGGACGGGUGAGUAACGUGUGGGCAACCUGCCCUGUACUGUGGAAUAAUCACUGGAAACGGUGACUAAUACCGCAUGUCAUCCGAAGAGGGCAUCCUCUUUGGAGAAAAGGAUUUAUUCGGUACAGGAUGGGCCCGCAUCUGAUUAGCUAGUUGGUGAGAUAACAGCUCACCAAGGCAACGAUCAGUAGCCGACCUGAGAGGGUGAUCGGCCACAUUGGGACUGAGACACGGCCCAAACUCCUACGGGAGGCAGCAGUGGGGAAUAUUGCACAAUGGGCGAAAGCCUGAUGCAGCAACGCCGCGUGAAGGAUGAAGGGUUUCGGCUCGUAAACUUCUAUCAACAGGGACGAAAAAAAUGACGGUACCUAAAUAAGAAGCCCCGGCUAACUACGUGCCAGCAGCCGCGGUAAUACGUAGGGGGCAAGCGUUAUCCGGAAUUACUGGGUGUAAAGGGAGAGUAGGCGGCAUGGUAAGUUAGAUGUGAAAGCCCGAGGCUUAACCUCGGGAUUGCAUUUAAAACUAUCAAGCUAGAGUACAGGAGAGGUAAGUGGAAUUCCUAGUGUAGCGGUGAAAUGCGUAGAUAUUAGGAAGAACACCAGUGGCGAAGGCGACUUACUGGACUGAAACUGACGCUGAGGCUCGAAAGCGUGGGGAGCGAACAGGAUUAGAUACCCUGGUAGUCCACGCCGUAAACGAUGAGUGCUAGGUGUCGGAGGGGAACCUUCGGUGCCGCAGCAAACGCAAUAAGCACUCCACCUGGGGAGUACGAUCGCAAGAUUGAAACCAAAGGAAUUGACGGAAUCUA